rnacentral:rRNA from 1 species
GCCGGAUUAAUACCGCAUAUGCUCAAAAGAGGAAGGCGGGGGACCGGAUGGGUGACCAUUGGGCCUCGCGCUAGAGGGGCGGCCGAUGUCGGAUUAUGCUAGUUGGUGGGGUAAGGGCCUACCAAGGCGGUGAUCCGUAGCGGGUCUGAGAGGAUGAUCCGCCACACUGGGACUGAGACACGGCCCAGACUCCUACGGGAGGCAGCAGUGGGGAAUUUUGGACAAUGGGGGCAACCCUGAUCCAGCAAUGCCGCGUGUGUGAAGAAGGCCUUCGGGUUGUAAAGCACUUUUGUCCGAGAAGAAAGGGCUCCGGUAAAUAAUCUCGAGUG